CGCACCCUCNCCUGUUUUACAAAAACAUGGCCUUUUAUAUAUUUAAGGUCUGGCCUGCCCACUGAAUUUUUGAAGGGCCGUGGUAUACUGACCAUGCGAAGGUAGCAUAAUCAUUUGCCCUCUAAUUAGGGGCUGGAAUGAAGGGUUGGACGAGAAACUAGCUGUCUCUUUUAAUUACUUGAAUUUAAUAAUUUGGUGAAAAAGCUAAAAUGUUCUUGGAGGACGAUAAGACCCUAUAGAUCUUUAUAGAUCUAGUUGUGAUUUUUUGGUUGUUAGUGAAUUACAAUAAAGUUUAUUUUGUUGGGGCGACAUUGAGUGAAGAAUAAUCUCUCAUAGUGUUUUUACAAUUAUAGUUGAUAAAUGAUCCUUUAAUGAAUUAGGAUAAAGUUACCUUAGGGAUAACAGCGUAAUUUCUUUUGAGAGUUCUAAUCGACAAAGAAGUUUGCGACCUCGAUGUUGGUUCAGGAUUCCUUUUAGGCGCAGUAGCUUGAAAAGGUAGUCUGUUCGACUAUUAAAUUCCUACGUGAUCUGAUUCANACCGGACGCUCU
rnacentral:rRNA from 1 species